rnacentral:rRNA from 1 species
UACGGAGGGGGCUAGCGUUGUUCGGAAUACUGGGCGUAAAGCGCACGUAGGCGGCUUUGUAAGUUAGAGGUGAAAGCCUGGAGCUCAACUCCAGAAUUGCCUUUAAGACUGCAUCGCUUGAAUCAUGGAGAGGCGGGUGGAAUUCCGAGUGUAGAGGUGAAAUUCGUAGAUAUUCGGAAGAACACCAGUGGCGAAGGCGGCCCGCUGGACAUGUAUUGACGCUGGAGGUGCGAAAGCGUGGGGAGCAAACAGG